AGAACGAACGCUGGCGGCAUGCCUAACACAUGCAAGUCGAACGAGACCUUCGGGUCUAGUGGCGCACGGGUGCGUAACGCGUGGGAAUCUACCCUUGGGUUCGGAAUGACAGUUGGAAACGACUGCUAAUACCGGAUGAUGUCGCAAGACCAAAGAUUUAUCGCCCAAGGAUGAGCCCGCGUAGGAUUAGCUAGUUGGUGAGGUAAAGGCUCACCAAGGCGAACAUCCUUAGCUGGUCUGAGAGGAUGAUCAGCCACACUGGGACUGAGACACGGCCCAAGACCUCCGUACGGAGGCAGCAGGUGGGAAUAUGACAAUGGGCGAAAGCCUGAUCCGAAGCGAAGUGACCGACGUGAGGUGAAUUGAACGGCCUUUAGGGGUUGUAAAACGUCUUA
rnacentral:rRNA from 1 species